GGGAGAGAACAUUAGUACUUAUGAAAAAUUCUCCUGCCAAAAUCAAUUUCAUUUGCUAAGUUUUACUUAGAAAAAUCUUAAAUGUUCUAAAAAGAGUCAGGAUUGCAGUCAAAUUGGGAUGCAGGCAUUUAAUAGAAUGUUUUACAAGCUGCAAAGUACUUAGUAUCUAGAAAAUGGAAAGCAUUCCAUAAGGAACAAGAAAAGGUGAGAGAGAGAGAGAG
rnacentral:misc_RNA from 1 species